AUUGAACGCUGGCGGCAUGCCUUACACAUGCAAGUCGAACGGCAGCACGGGGCAACCUGGUGGCGAGUGGCGAACGGGUGAGUAAUGCAUCGGAACGUACCUUUCAGUGGGGGAUAACGUAGCGAAAGUUACGCUAAUACCGCAUAUUCUGUGAGCAGGAAAGCAGGGGAUCGCAAGACCUUGCGCUGAUUGAGCGGCCGAUGUCAGAUUAGCUAGUUGGUGAGGUAAAGGCUCACCAAGGCGACGAUCUGUAGCGGGUCUGAGAGGAUGAUCAGCCACACGGGAACGGAGACACGGUCCAGACUCCUACGGGAGGCAGCAGUGGGGAAUUUUUGGCAAUGGGGGCAACCCUGAUCCAGCCUUGCCGCGUGAGUGAAGAAGGCCUUCGGGUUGUAAAGCUCGUUCGGCCGGGAAGAAAUCGCACGGGCUAAUACCCUGUGUGGAUGACGGUACCGGAAUAAGAAGCACCGGCUAACUACGUGCCAGCCGCCGCCGUAAUAC
rnacentral:rRNA from 1 species